AGCUCCAAUAGCGUAUAUUUAAGUUGUUGCAGUUAAAAAGCUCGUAGUUGGAUUUCGGAUGAAUGCGACCGGUCCGCCGUUUCGGUGUGUACUGGUUACGUUUAUCUUGCUGUCGGGGACGCGCUCCUGGCCUUAACUGGCUGGGACGUGGAGUCGGCGAAGUUACUUUGAAAAAAUUAGAGUGUUCAAAGCAGGCCUACGCUCUGAAUACAUUAGCAUGGAAUAACGCGAUAGGACUCUGGUCUUAUUUCGUUGGUCUUCGAGACCGGAGUAAUGAUUAAGAGGGACAGUUGGGGGCAUUCGUAUUUCAUUGUCAGAGGUGAAAUUCUUGGAUUUAUGAAAGACGAACUUCUGCGAAAGCAUUUGCCAAGGAUGUUUUCAUUAAUCAAGAACGAAAGUA
rnacentral:rRNA from 1 species